AUUAUUUUAGAGCUUUACAUUGUAAGUAAAUAAUAAUUACGAAAGCAAAAAAUUAUGGCGGUAUUUUAAGCUUUUCAGAGGAAUUUGCUCUUUAAUGGAUAAAACACCUAAAUCUUACUUAAAUUUGUUAGGUCAAUUUGUAUACCACUAUUAAAUUAAUUAAUAAUUUUAAUUUAUAAAAUUUAUAUAAAUUUAAAAAAAAUUAAGUCAAGGUGCAGUAAAAAUUUAAGAAUGAAGUGAAUUACAAUUCUCUUAAGAGAUUAUUUAAAUUAAAAUUUUAAUUUAGGAUUUGAAAGUAAAAUUAAAAUAGAAUGUUAAUUUGAAUAAAGCUCUAAAAUAUGUACA
rnacentral:rRNA from 1 species